AUUUUCCAUUUUGCUGAUGGUCUUCCUUUUACUGAUAUUUUUACCAUUCUGCUUUGAGGUUCGUUUGUUUCUUGAAUGGUCCAGUGGAGGACAACUUUCAGGAAACAAAUAAACGAAUAAGAUCUCUUCGGCCUUGAAAUUCUCCUCCUGACAACCUUGAUGGGGCUUAAGGCAGUUUUACACUGGAAGUGAGUGAGGCUGCCCCGCAUCUCCCUCUUUCGCCUCUUGUGAACUGAGAGGGGAUUGCAGAGGCCAAAAUGCUCUUAUUUCUGUCUUAUUUCUGUUGGGUGAGCCUUAGCCGGAAGGCAGGACCCCCUGCGCCAGCCCAGCUCCAUUUCUCCUCUCCCGCCUUUUCCCCAAGGGGCUCAGGGCGGCCUCUGCUGCUCUCCGCUUCCACAGCCGCCAUCACAACCACCCUGUGAGGUGGGGCAGCUUGAGAGGCCGCCAGCAGCCCCAGGUCGCUCCCUGGUCAGUACUUUUGGUUUAGAUGGGGGCAUGAGACGCUUAAUGCCAUAGUCACGGGUUCGAGCCCCACGUGAGGUAAAAGAGCGCUGCGUUGCCGGGGGUUGGACUGGAUGACCCUCGGGGUCCCUUCCAAGUCUAGAAUCCCACCACGUUGACGUGCAAGUCGGUUUCAUCUUCUCACUAUUUUUGCCGGGCACCACUGCGACGUGUUAGGCGGUACAGAGAGGUGUGCCAGUAGGUGAGUAAAUAGAAACUGGAAAAUAAAAAUAAAUAAGCGCCCUUCCCUAGAGCCGCCCCAAAGGCACUUUUUCCCCUCACAGAGGAACAACUACAAAUCCCAGAAUCCUUUGCGUCUGGGAAAAGGGAAGAAGCGAAGGGGCAGGACGUCUCGAGAGGUGCCUGUUUCCUCCGGCCAGCCCCCAUUUGUGUGGGUCUUUUGCAGGAGGCGUCCGGCCAUCGCGAUCUCUGGGGUGCAAAGAGGUUUUGCAGGGGAGGCUGAAGGUGGGAGCAGGAAGGAGUCUUUGCUGGCAGAGGCGCCCUUCGGAAGCAGCUCUCCGCGGGUGAGAGGGCACCGUCUGAACCCUGCAACACGUGAAUGCCGGUGAGGGGGCGGGGCAGAAAAGGGCGGCGGGAAAGAUGAGCCAUUUUGGCUUUUCCCAUUGCACGGAUAAGUUUGCACGUUGCAUCGGGG